CAGCAGCCGCGGUAAUACGAAGGUCCCAAGCGUUGUUCGGAUUUACUGGGCGUAAAGGGUCUGUAGGCGGCAUGGUAAGUCAGGUGUGAAAUCCCGGGGCUCAACCCCGGAACUGCAUCCGAUACUGCCGUGCUAGAGUAUUGGAGGGGAGUCUGGAAUUCUCGGUGAGCAGGUGAAAUGCGUAGAUAUCGAGAGGAACACUAGUGGCGAAGGCGAGGCUCUGGACAAUGACUGACGCUGAGAGACGAAGGCCAGGGUAGCGAAAAGGAUUAGAUACCCUUGUAGUCCUGGCAGUAAACGGUGCACGCUUGGUGUGGGAGGAUUCGACCCCUUCCGUGCCGGAGCUAACGCGUUAAGCGUGCCGCCUGGGGAGUACGGCCGCAAGGCUAAAACUCAAAGAAAUUGACGGGGACCCGCACAAGCGGUGGAGCAUGUGGCUUAAUUCGAUGCAACGCGAAGAACCUUACCUGGGCUUGACAUGUUGGUCGUAGUCCCGCGAAAGCGGGACGUCAGUUCGGCUGGACCAUCA
rnacentral:rRNA from 1 species